rnacentral:lncRNA from 1 species
GCUAAAGGAUGGGGAUGAGAUGGAAAAUGCAUUGAAGAUCUCUGAAAUCAUGGAGACAAGGUUGAAUAGACUAGUAUAGCACCAGAGAGAUAUAAACAAGUGGUAUAUGGUCUCCAUGGACACUAUAAUUUUUGUUUCAGUCUUUUUUGUUUCAGUCAUUCAGUUGGUCUCAAUUCUCAAACAGAUAUAUUCAUCUUGUUGACCAUAGAUGGAUUUCAAUUUCCAUGGC